rnacentral:rRNA from 1 species
AUUGAACGCUGGCGGCAGGCCUAACACAUGCAAGUCGAGCGGUAGAGAGAAGCUUGCUUCUCUUGAGAGCGGCGGACGGGUGAGUAAUGCCUAGGAAUCUGCCUGGUAGUGGGGGAUAACGUUCGGAAACGAACGCUAAUACCGCAUACGUCCUACGGGAGGAAGCAGGGGACCUUCGGGCCUUGCGCUAUCAGAUGAGCCUAGGUCGGAUUAGCUAGUUGGUGAGGUAAUGGCUCACCAAGGCGACGAUCCGUAACUGGUCUGAGAGGAUGAUCAGUCACACUGGAACUGAGACACGGUCCAGACUCCUACGGGAGGCAGCAGUGGGGGAAUUUUGGACAAUGGGCGCAAGCCUGAUCCAGCAAUGCCGCGUGCAGGAUGAAGGCCUUCGGUUGU